rnacentral:rRNA from 1 species
GACGAACGCUGGCGGCGUGCCUAAUACAUGCAAGUUGAGCGCUGAAGGUUGGUACUUGUCCCCACUGGAUGAGCAGCGAACGGGUGAGUAACGCGUGGGGAAUCUGCCUUUGAGCGGGGGACAACAUUUGGAAACGAAUGCUAAUACCGCAUAAAAACUUUAAACACAAGUUUUAAGUUUGAAAGAUGCAAUUGCAUCACUCAAAGAUGAUCCCGCGUUGUAUUAGCUAGUUGGUGAGGUAAAGGCUCACCAAGGCGAUGAUACAUAGCCGACCUGAGAGGGGGAUCGGCCACAUUGGGACUGAGACACGGCCCAAACUCCUACGGGAGGCAGCAGUAGGGAAUCUUCGGCAAUGGACGAAAGUCUGACCGAGCAACGCCGCGUGAGUGAAGAAGGUUUUCGGAUCGUAAAACUCUGUUGGUAGAGAAGAACGUUGGUGAGAGUGGAAAGCUCAUCAAGUGACGGUAACUACCCAGAAAGGGACGGCUAACUACGUG